rnacentral:rRNA from 1 species
UACGUAGGGGGCAAGCGUUGUCCGGAUUUAUUGGGCGUAAAGAGCGUGUAGGCGGUUUGGUAGGUCCGUUGUGAAAACUCGAGGCUCAACCUCGAGACGCCGGCGGAAACCAUCAGGCUAGAGUCCGGAAGAGGAGAGUGGAAUUCCUGGUGUAGCGGUGAAAUGCGCAGAUAUCAGGAAGAACACCCGUGGCUAAGGCGGCUCUCUAGUACGGUACUGACGCUGAGACGCGAAAAGCGUGGGGGAUCAAACAGG